GUGGGGAAUAUUGGGCAAUGGGCGAAAGCCUGACCCAGCAACGCCGCGUGAAGGAAGAAGGCUUUCGGGUUGUAAACUUCUUUUGUCAGGGACGAAAAAAAUGACGGUACCUGACGAAUAAGCCACGGCUAACUACGUGCCAGCAGCCGCGGUAAUACGUAGGUGGCAAGCGUUAUCCGGAUUUACUGGGUGUAAAGGGCGUGUAGGCGGGAAAGCAAGUCAGAUGUGAAAACUAUGGGCUCAACCCAUAGCCUGCAUUUGAAACUGUUUUUCUUGAGUACUGGAGAGGCAGAUGGAAUUCCUAGUGUAGCGGUGAAAUGCGUAGAUAUUAGGAGGAACACCAGUGGCGAAGGCGAUCUGCUGGACAGCAACUGACGCUGAGGCGCGAAAGCGUGGGGAGCAAACAGGAUUAGAAACCCCGGUAGUCC
rnacentral:rRNA from 1 species